AACGAACGCUGGCGGCAUGCCUAACACAUGCAAGUCGAACGAGACCUUCGGGUCUAGUGGCGCACGGGUGCGUAACGCGUGGGAACCUGCCCUUAGGUUCGGAAUAACUCCCCGAAAGGGGUGCUAAUACCGGAUAAUGUCUUCGGACCAAAGAUUUAUCGCCUUUGGAUGGGCCCGCGUUGGAUUAGCUAGUUGGUAGGGUAAAAGCCUACCAAGGCGACGAUCCAUAGCUGGUCUGAGAGGAUGAUCAGCCACACUGGGACUGAGACACGGCCCAGACUCCUACGGGAGGCAGCAGUGGGGAAUAUUGGACAAUGGGCGAAAGCCUGAUCCAGCAAUGCCGCGUGAGUGAUGAAGGCCUUAGGGUUGUAUAGCUCUUUUACCCGGGAUGAUAAUGACAGUACCGGGAGAAUAAGCUCCGGCUAACUCCGUG
rnacentral:rRNA from 1 species